rnacentral:misc_RNA from 2 species
AAGUCGUAACAAGGUUUCCGUAGGUGAACCUGCGGAAGGAUCAUUAUUGAAAUAAACCUGAUGGGUUGUUGCUGGUUCUCUAGGGAGCAUGUGCACACCUUGUCAUCUUUAUAUCUCCACCUGUGCACUUUUUGUAGACCUUUCAGGUCUAUGUUGCUUCAUUUACCCCAAUGUAUGUUAAUAGAAUGUUGUGACUAUAUAAUAUAUACAACUUUCAGCAACGGAUCUCUUGGCUCUC